CCCCUCUCAGGGUCGCACCUGGAGAGUUUCCAGUACUCUGCCUGUCUCAGCUAUAGGAGGGAAGAGUCAAGCAGAGGCCUACCCAUUCCAUUCCUAGCUUGGGCAGUGGCCAGUGAAUGGAAGGCAAUCUGCUACAAGU
rnacentral:snoRNA from 1 species